rnacentral:miRNA from 1 species
UUCAGAUACAUGAUGGAUAUCUCCUCAGUAUAAAUAUAUCCCAUGCAAUCUUUGGGACAGACUUAUACUAAACAGUGUUCUGUUCUUUAUCUGAAAAUCAGAUUUAUUGGGUGUCCUGUAUU